CCUACGGGAGGCAGCAGUGGGGAAUAUUGGACAAUGGGGGGAACCCCGAUCCAGCGACGCCGCGUGAGUGACGAAGUAUUUCGGUAUGUAAAGCUCUAUCAGCAGGGAAGAAAAUGACGGUACCUGACUAAGAAUCCCCGGCUAACUACGUGCCAGCAGCCGCGGUAAUACGUAGGGGGCAAGCGUUAUCCGGAUUUACUGGGUGUAAAGGGAGCGUAGACGGUGCAGCAAGUCUGAUGUGAAAUGCCGGGGCUUAACCCCGGAACUGCUUUGGAAACUGUGCAGCUAGAGUGCAGGAGAGGUAAGUGGAAUUACUAGUGUAGCGGUGAAAUGCGUAGAUAUUAGGAGGAACACCAGUGGCGAAGGCGGCUUACUGGACUGUAACUGACGUUGAGGCUCGAAAGCGUGGGGAGCAAACAGGAUUAGAUACCCUUGUAGUC
rnacentral:rRNA from 1 species